rnacentral:rRNA from 1 species
UACGUAGGGUGCAAGCGUUGUCCGGAAUUAUUGGGCGUAAAGAGCUCGUAGGCGGUUUGUCGCGUCUGCUGUGAAAACUCGGGGCUUAACUCCGGGCCUGCAGUGGGUACGGGCAGACUAGAGUGCGGUAGGGGAGACUGGAAUUCCUGGUGUAGCGGUGAAAUGCGCAGAUAUCAGGAGGAACACCGGUGGCGAAGGCGGCUUGCUGGGCCAGUUCUGACGCUGAGGAGCGAAAGCGUGGGGAGCGAACAGG